rnacentral:rRNA from 1 species
GACAGAGGUGCCGAGCGUUUAGGCGGAAUCACUGGGCUUAAAGCGUGUGUAGGCGGGUCCGUAAGUACCUUGUGAAAUCCCAUGGCUCAACCAUGGAACUGCUUGGUAUACUGCGGAUCUUGAGCCACCUAGGGGCAAGUGGAACAAACGGUGGAGCGGUGAAAUGCGUAGAUAUCGUUUGGAACGCCAAUGGUGAAAACAACUUGCUGGGGGUGUUGCUGACGCUGAGACACGAAAGCCAGGGGAGCAAACGGG